CUCCCCCACACUAUGUGACUCUUCAAUCCCACCCAGGGGGGUACUACAUGAGAACAUAAGAAAUUUGACAGACGAAAGAAGACCAUUAAGUCCAUCAGGCUUGCUUGUUUAGCUCCUAGCUAAGCUUCCCAAUGUCUCAUCCAGAUUCUUAAAGGUUGUCAACGUUUCUGUAAGAAGAUUUGAAAAGCGCUGCUCUCCAGGGGUCUCAUUUAUAAAUGUUGUUUUUUUUUUAGCAUUGCUGCCUUCUUGAGCAAGAUGUGUUUUUCCCCUGGUUGGUUGUUUUUCUGCUUUAACGAGUAUAGAAGCUCCCAAAAGUUCACCAAGGAACCUCUUAACCCAUCAUCUACACCCACCUCUCCUAGCUGAUAUUCAGACACAAGUUCUCAACACAUCUCAAGAAGAAUUAAUAUGAACAUGUGAUUUCAGUUUUUGA